GUUUCAGUUGUAAAUGGUUGAAAUUUUAAUACAGUAUAGCAUGCACGAUAGUUUCGGCUAGGUGCGCGCAUGGUUUGAAUUCGCCUCAACGUCUUGUUGAAUUAGUUCGACAAAGGAUCAGAUUGGUGAGAGGAUUGGCUGUGCGCGCUGCAUGUUUCAGUUGUAAAUGUUUGAAAUUUUAAUGCAGUAUAGCAUGCACGAUAGUUUCGGCUAGGUGCGCGCAUGGUUUGAAUUCGCCUCAACGUCUUGUUGAAUUAGUUCGACAAAGGAUCAGAUUGGUGAGAGGAUUGGCUGUGCGCGUUGCAUGUUUUUAAUACAGUAGUAUGCAUGAGAGUUUCUGCUGCGGACGCAAUUUCAUUUUACCUAAUGAGCUUUAUAAUGGUUGAAAUUUUAAUACAGUUGCAUGAGAGGUUUCGAUUUCAUGCUUUUUUCCUGACUAUGUUUUUAUUUUUGUUUUUUUAUACUGAUGUGUGGCCGAAAUAAACACGCUGAAAUAUCUGACCGUAAGUGUUAAUCUUUAUUUCUCACAUUAUUGCCAGUUUCCAAUUACAGAGAUAGGUCAACUUUCAAAUGGUUCAAAUUUUAGCACAGUUGCAUGUAUGAGAGUUUUGGCUGAGGACGUAAUUUCAUUUUGCCUUAUGAACUUUAUAAUGUUUGAAAUUUUAAUACAGUAUAGCAUGCACAAUACUUUCGGCUAGGUGCGCGCGUGGUUUGAAUUCGCCUCAACGUCUUGUUGAAUUAGUUCGACAAAGGAUCAGAUUGGUGAGAGGGUUGGCCGCGCGCUGCAUGUUUCAGUUGUAAAUGGUUGAAAUUUUAAUACAGUGUGGCAUGCACGAUAGUUUCGGCUAGGUGCGCGCGUGGUUUGAAUUCGCCUCAACGUCUUGUUGAAUUAGUUCGACAAAGGAUCAGAUUGGUGAGAGGGUUGGCUGCGCGCGCUGCAUGUUUCAGUUGUAAAUGGUUGAAAUUUUAAUACAGUAUACCAUGCACAAUAGUUUCAGCUAGGUGCGCGCAUGGUUUGAAUUCGCCUCAAGGUCUUGUUGAAUUAGUUCGACAAAGGAUCAGAUUGGUGAGAGGGUUGGCCGCGCGCGCGCUGCAUGUUUCAGUUGUAAAUGGUUGAAAUUUUAAUACAGUAUAGCAUGCACAAUAGUUUCGGCUAGGUGCGCGCAUGCUUUGAAUUCGCCUCAACGUCUUGUUGAAUUAGUUCGACAAAGGAUCAGAUUGGUGAGAGGAUUGGCUGUGCGCGCUGCAUGUUUCAGUUGUAAAUGGUUGAAAUUUUAAUGCAGUAUAGCAUGCACGAUAGUUUCGGCUAGGUGCGCGCAUGGUUUGAAUUCGCCUCAACGUCUUGUUGAAUUAGUUCGACAAAGGAUCAGAUUGGUGAGAGGGUUGGCCGCGCGCGUUGCAUGUUUCAGUUGUAAAUGGUUGAAAUUUUAAUACAGUAUAGCAUGCAUGAGAGUUUCGGCUAGGUGCGCACAUGGUUUGAAUUCGCCUCAACGUCUUGUUGAAUUAGUUCGACAAAGGAUCAGAUUGGUGAGAGGGUUGGCCGCGCGCGUUGUAUGUUUCAGUUGUAAAUGGUUGAAAUUUUAAUACAGUAUAGCAUGCACGAUAGUUUCGGCUAGGUGCGCGCGUGGUUUGAAUUCGCCUCAACGUCUUGUUGAAUUAGUUCGACAAAGGAUCAGAUUGGUGAGAGGGUUGGCCGCGCGUGUUGCAUGUUUCAGUUGUAAAUGGUUGAAAUUUUAAUACAGUAUAGCAUGCACGAUAGUUUCGGCUAGGUGCGCGCGUGGUUUGAAUUCGCCUCAACGUCUUGUUGAAUUAGUUCGACAAAGGAUCAGAUUGGUGAGAGGGUUGGCCGCGCGCGUUGCAUGUUUCAGUUGUAAAUGGUUGAAAUUUUAAUACAGUAUAGCAUGCACGAUAGUUUCGGCUAGGUGCGCACAUGGUUUGAAUUCGCCUCAACGUCUUGUUGAAUUAGUUCGACAAAGGAGCAGAUUGGUGAGAGGAUUGGCCGUGCGCGUUGCAUGUUUUUAAUACAGUAGCAUGCAUGAGAGUUUCUGCUGCGGACGCAAUUUCAGCUUACCUUAUGAGCUUUAUAAUGGUUGAAAUUUUAAUACAGUUGCAUGAGAGGUUUCGAUUUCAUGCUUUUUUCCUGACUAUGUUUUUAUUUUUGUUUUUUUUUAUACUGAUGUGUGGCCGAAAUUAACAUGCUGAAAUAUCUGAGGGUAAGUGUUAAUCUUUAUUUCUCACAUUAUUGCCAGUUUGCAAUUACAGAGAUAGGUCGACUUUCAAAUGGUUCUAAUUUUAGCACAGUUGCAUGUAUGAGAGUUUUGGCUGAGGACGUAAUUUCAUUUUGCCUUAUGAACUUUAUAAUGGUUGAAAUUUUAAUACAGUUGCAUGAGAGAGGUUUCGGUUUCAUGUUUUUUUCGUGACUCUGUUUUUAUUUUUGUUUUUUUUAUACUGAUGUAUUGGAACCCCAUUAUUGCAGAGCUGAUCUUGGUGAUGU
rnacentral:lncRNA from 1 species